UGUGAAGACUUUAAAAGUACUCAAAUCCACGACGACAACCCCUGUAAACGUUCAAAGAGGAGAAAGAAGUCAUAAAAAUAUAAUCAAAUAAAAGAAUACAUUGUCCUUUUCUGAAACGAUCACGUUAUGCCGGGACACGCAACAAUUUUAAGAACGUUGCGUUCUUUUAGAAAUACCUAGCUAAGCAAAGCCUUAAAAGAGAAAAAAAGAAAAGAAAAAAAAGGAAAUCAUAAAUAGUCUAAAUAAAGGAGUAAAAAGUUUGCUAAACG